rnacentral:rRNA from 1 species
CCCUUAGAUGUUCUGGGCCGCACGCGCGUUACAAUGAAUCGUUCAACAGGUUUCUUCCUGAGUCGAAGGGCUUGGGUAAUCCUUUAAAUACGGUUCGUGCUAGGGAUAGAUUUUUGCAAUUAUUAAUCUUGAACGAGGAAUAUUUAGUAAACGCAGGUCAUCAGCCUGCAUUGAUUACGUCCCUGCCCUUUGUACACACCGCCCGUCGCACCAACCGAUUGGAUGUUUUGUUGAAAUAUGUGGAUGCUUGUUGGGUGAAUUCAUUUUUGCUUGAUAGACAGAAACGUAUUAAAACUGAAUAUCUAGAGGAUGGUGAAGUCGUAACA